rnacentral:lncRNA from 1 species
GGCUUUCCAUUCCACACCGAGGCCAGCGGCAGGCUCAGCUCAAACCCUGAGAGUCUGGCUCCAAGCAGCUCCAGAAAAGAAAGAAUGCCACAAUCCCACCGACUCAAAAGCAACUAGAAGCCAGGCACAGUGGCUCACUCCAAUAAUCCCAACACUUUGGGAGGUCGAGGUGGGAGGACUGCUUGAGGCCAGGAGUUCAAGGACAGCUUGGACAACAUAGUAAGACCCCAUCUCUACAAAAUAUUUAAAAAAUUAGCCAGGCAUGGUGGCACACACUUGUAGUCCCAGUUACUCCAGAGGCUGAGGUGGGAAGAUUGCUUGGGCCUGGGAGGUCGAGGCUGCAGUGAGCUAUGAUCACACUGCUACACUCCAGCCUGGGCAACAGAGCGAGACCCGUG